rnacentral:rRNA from 1 species
UACGUAGGGCGCAAGCGUUGUCCGGAAUUAUUGGGCGUAAAGAGCUCGUAGGCGGCCAGUUGCGUCCGCUGGGAAAUCCCGGGGCUUAACCCCGGGCGUGCAGUGGAUACGGGCUGGCUAGAGGCAGGCAGGGGAGAACGGAAUUCCCGGUGUAGCGGUGAAAUGCGCAGAUAUCGGGAAGAACACCCGUGGCGAAGGCGGCUCUCUGGGACGGUACUGACGCUGCGACGCGAAAGCGUGGGGAGCGAACAGG